rnacentral:rRNA from 1 species
AUGGCCGUUCUUAGUUGGUGGAGUGAUUUGUCUGCUUAAUUGCGAUAACGAACGAGACCUUAACCUGCUAAAUAGCCAGGCCCGCUUUGGCGGGUCGCCGGCUUCUUAGAGGGACUAUCGGCUCAAGCCGAUGGAAGUUUGAGGCAAUAACAGGUCUGUGAUGCCCUUAGAUGUCCUGGGCCGCACGCGCGCUACACUGAUGCACUCAACGAGCAUAUAACCUUGGUCGAGAGGCCUGGGUAAUCUUGUUAACAUGCAUCGUGAUAGGGAUAGAUUAUUGCAAUUAUUAAUCUUGAACGAGGAAUUCCUAGUAAUCGCAGAUCAUCAAUCUGCAAUGAUUACGUCCCUGCCCUUUGUACACACCGCCCGUCGCUCCUAC